AUGCCUGCACGUAUACAUUUAUUUUCCCAUAUAUAUGUUUAUGGUUAAUGAUUUAUCAAAAUAAAAUCAAGGCCAUCCAAAUUUAUAUGAUAUAUAUGCAGUUAAUAGCAUUGCAUAUUACUGGAGCCCUCAAUGCGGUUCUAGGACCAGAACACCAGAAGGAAAUAAUUCGCUACAUAUGCAAUCAUCAGGUACUUAAUCCAAAAUAAUAUUAAUUUUUUUAAAAUAUUAUUAUAGAGAUUUAGUUGAUUAAAAAACUAAGAUGAUUGAGGUGGGCAGAAUGAAGAUGGAGGAUGGGGACUACACAUAGAAGGGCAGAGCACAAUGUUUGGGUCAGCACUAAGCUACAUUGCCCUGAGGCUGCUUGGAGAGGAUCCUCAUGAUGAUGAUGGUGAAGAAGACAAGGCUGUGGCACUGGCAAGAGCCCCAAUCUUGAGUGAAAUAAAUACCGCGGCCCCAAUCUUGAGUGAAAUAAAUACCGCGGCGGUGCACUGGGGAUCCCAUGUUGGGGAAAGUUUUGGCUUAGCGUACGUAUAUAGCUGUCGUCGUCACUUAUAAUUUUUCAUGUCAAAUUAAAAUUAAAGAGUUAAUUACCUCUCUCUCUCUCUCUCUCUCUCUCUCUCUCUCUCUCUCUCUCUCUCUCUCUCUCUCUCUCGCUCGGUUCAACUAGGUGCUAGGAGUAUAUGAGUGGUCAGGGUGCAAUCCUCUGCCUCCUGAGCUCUGGCUUAUACCAAAUAUCUCUCCCAUUCAUCCAGGUUCGAAUUCGAAACAAACACAUAUUUUCUGAGCGACCGAACCAUUCCAGUGAUUGGACCAACAAAUCUCUUCCCAUAUAAGUAUGACAUAGGCAUGUAGACCAGGCGACAAUAGAACAACAUUUUGCCUGUUUUUCAGAUAUACUUAUAUGGGAAGAGAUUUGUUGGUCCAAUCACUGGAAUGGUUCGGUCGCUCAGACAAGAGCUCUACACUGAGCCUUACCAUGAAAUAAACUGGCCUAAAGCUAAAAACACAGUUGCAAAGGUUAGUUGUUUAAAAUGUUUUAUCAGAUCAGUAUGGCAAUACCAUGAGUUAAUUAGUAAGGACACUGCUUCCCUUGGAGGGAUUCCUCUACUACAAAUCACCGUUUGACACCUAUAAAAAUAAAUUAUCAAAAACACAAAAGGAAAAAUAUUUACACUCGUGGCAAACUGUGAUUGGUAGGAAAGUAGGAGUCCCUACUUCUAGGGAAGAAGACAAGUAUUUUCCAAUAUUACAUUGGAACCUAUGAAGUGUUCCGUAAAAAAAAUACUAUACCUUGGUAACAUACUUAAAGCCAAAAUGCUUGCUAUUUCAGGAAGAUCUCUACUAUCCACACCCUCUAGUGCAAGAUCUGCUGUGGGGAUUUCUUCACCAUGUCGCCGAACCUAUUCUGGCUCGUUGGCCCUUUUCUCUUCUGAGAGAGAAGGCUCUAAAAGUUGCAAUUAACCAUGUACAUUAUGAGGAUCAGAAUAGCAGAUACCUUUGCAUUGGAUGUGUAGAAAAGGUAAUUAACAUGUGGGGAAAGAAAGAAAUAUUUAAACCGAACUUCACAGCUUUUUUCACCAAUCUGAAAUGCUAGCUGCAUUUGCAGGUGUUAUGUUUGCUUGCUUGUUGGGUAGAGGAUCCAAAUUCAGAAGCAUAUAAGCUUCAUCUGGCCAGAAUUCCAGAUUACUUUUGGGUUGCUGAAGAUGGCUUGAAAUUUCAGGUGACUCAUCUGUCAGGUCUUCCAUAUACAAGUCCUUGCAUGAAAACAAGAACCCAUUGCCGUCAAAAGAUAGGUCCAAUCCAUAUUGCUCCUUGAAAGUCACCUUGACCUACUCUGCUCUUUUUCACCGACCUUUUGCCUCUCAUUUGCCCCUGACCCUCAAGUCCGUCAAAAUUGCUGAUGUGACACAAAUAGAAUCUGUUAACGAGUUCAUUCGUUAUAAAUACACCCUGUUAACGUUCAACCUGAACAUUCAACUUUCAUGUGCGCGUUCAUAUCGUGUUAUAAAUUUGUGAAGGGGAGGGACAAACUGAGAUGCAAAAAGCUGGUCAAAAGAAUAAAGUGAGUCAAAAUGACUUAAGAGAGGGACAAUAUGGAAUUUGACCCUUGUUUCAAGAGGCAAAGGCAUAAUUAAGACAAACUAUAUAAGCACACCUUGAGACCGGUUCUGUAUAGGACGCACGUAUGGUCGUUAAUAAAGAUCACAUUGUCGAUAUGUCGAAAUUAACUGUUGUCAACAAAACAUUAUUUACUGCAGAGUUUUGGCUCUCAAACGUGGGAUGCAGUGUUUGCAAUCCAAGCAAUACUCUCCUGUAACCUAAACGACGAGUAUGGGCCAACACUUUGGAAAGCACAUGACUUCUUGAAGGCUUCACAGGUUAUAUUUCACUGAUCAUGCAUGCAUGAUACAUCUCCCUCGAUAGUUUUGUCUACCACAACAUAUACUUGAGAGAAUUAUUUAAUUUUUUGAAGGUUCGAGCAAACCCUUUUGGUAACUUCGUUGCAAUGUAUAUGUAUCGACACAUUUCUAAAGGUGCAUGGACAUUCUCAACGCAGGACCAUGGUUGGCAAGUCUCCGAUUGCACCGGAGAAGGACUAAAGGUUGUAUUGCAACUCUGCUACUUAAAUGUACAUAUAUUACCCACAUACUCUUAUUAAUUUUUUUAAAGGAAGGAGUUAAGGGUGGUGGCAUUAAUCUUUUGUCUAAUGUAGCUAGGCUGCACUCUUGUUGUCACAAAUGUCAACGGAACUAGUUGGAGAAAAAAUGCAAACAGAAUGUUUCUAUGAUGCUGUGAAUGUCAUUCUUUCUUUGCAAGUAAGAACUAGCUAAACAAAGGUAUAUAUAUAAAUAUAUAUGGUUCCUUAUAACUAAGUUUUGGUAACAUAACAUGCUUUUGCUCUUUAAUUUUCAAUACCAGAGCAUCAGUGGGGGUUUCCCGGCUUAGGAGUCUCAAAGAGCAUUUCGUUGGUUGGAGGUACGUAAUAAUGCUCUAAGCUUGGAAGUUUAUAUAUCAAUCUCAUAUAGUUAGGCAAAGCAUCGUAUAAACUUUUAUUCUCUUGCAGAAGUUCAAUCCCACAGAGUUCUUUGAGGAUACUCUUAUUGAACGAGAGUAUGGUUUCUUCGAAAACUUUUUCGAUAUAGAAAUUCAAUGGUCUCUCGAGCUUCAUUUUCUAAUUUCUAACACUUAUACAUGUGUAAUCUUAAUUAGGUACGUAGAGUGCACAUCAUCAGCAGUUCAAGGUCUAGCACUCUUUAGGAAAUUAUAUCCCGAGCACCGAAGGAAGGAUAUAGAAAGUUGCAUAUUAAGAGGAAUUCGUUACAUUGAAGACACACAAAAUCCUGAUGGAUCAUGGUAAUUAAUUUGUUUUUAGACAUCCGUUUGGAAAAACAAAAGACUGAUAUUGAUCAGAUGCACAUUUCUUUCUAAACUGAAUGUGUCCAAUUUGCUUGUUCAUGUAUAAGUCUAAUAGUUGGAAGCAAAUGUAUAGUUGCUUUUUUCUGGCAACAAGAUAAGAUUAAGGGCACAGAAUAUAUUACAAGAGAUUAAAAUUGAACAGAUAUGGAUGUUGGGGUAUUUACUACACAUAUGGAACAUGGUUUGCCGUAGAGGGGCUAGCAGCCCGUGGAAAGAACUACUAGAACAGUCUCGCAUUGCGGAAAGCUUGUGAAUUUUUACUAUCAAAGCAGCUACCUAAUGGUGGAUGGGGAGAGAGUUACCUUUCAAGUCAAAAUAAGGUACGUAAGGGGAAAGAAAUUGAUGUAAUUAAACUGUGCAUCAGAUAAUGAGAGUGUGAAAUUUUAAGACCCAUAACAUGAAACUGUUUUAAUGGCGGUCAAUUUGAAGAAGGAUACCCUAAACACAUGACAUAACAAAAUCCCCAAAUAUAUUCCCCAAAACAUACAUAUAGAAAAGUAAAACCAGAUAUCAUAAAAAUAACGUAUGUCUCAGUAUCGUAUUAUAUAUCUAAACCCGAUAAAGCUCGAUCCAAAUCCUUAAUUUAUCAUACAUGUUUGUGUUAUCGUAUCCUAAGUGAUUUUGGUCAAUGUGGUUUGUAAGAUGCGUUGUUUCAUUUGUCUUCUUAUUAUGUCAUGCUGCAAAUGUAUUUUUGGAAACAGGUGUACACAAAUCUGGAAGGCAACCGCGCUAAUUUGCUAACACUCCGUGGGCGUUGUUAUCCCUCAUCAACGCAGGGCAGGUCAGUAUUGGUAUUAUCACGUACGUACGCAUAUAGAUCAUGGGCUCUACCCACAAACGACAUUUGGAGUGGGAAAUUAUUAACUAUAAAUAUCCUACUGUGAGCAAAGGAAAAUAUUGAAAACUUCAGCCCCAGCCCAGGAUGAAGCUGCUUUCUUGACAAAAAGAAAAUUCUAAUCCAUGCCAUGCAAAUUGCAAUGUCAAGGAACUAAAAUAAAGAAGUUGAAUUUGAAGUGUACCUCAAUAUUAAAUUAUUUAAAUAUACACUCCUCUUAAUAAGAAAUGUCUUAAAAAUAUAUAUAUAUAUAUAUAUUUAAAUACGUGUUGAUGAAAAUUCAGGUUGACAUAGAUUCAACACCCAUCCAUCGUGGAAUAAGGCUAUUGAUCAAUUCACAAAUGCCCGAUGGUGACUCCCUCAACAGGUAAAUAAAGGGAUCCUACUUUGUUAAUAAUAUUACACUUAUUUUAUAUUUUUUUCAUAAUGAUUUAAGUUUUAAACUUAAUUCAUUUGUGUACUAUUACAGAAAAUUACUGGAGUAUUUAUGAGGAAUUGUACGCUAAACUACUCAUCAUAUCGAAAUAUCUUCCCAAAAUGGGCUCUUGGACAAUAUCAUCUCCACGUUCUACUGCAAAAAUCUUGAAAUAUGCAAGGACCUGUUGUAAAUGCAUGAGUUGGUGGAUGACCACCAUACCUCUUAGCACUCACCCUUUCUAAUUUUAUGUAACCUAUACACUAAAUAUCAUAGUUAUGGGCUUGUAAUUUAUGAGUCGUUACUGUCUUCAUAUCAUUGUAAGCCUAUAAUUAAGAGGUCUUAUUAGGAUGAGACAUACAAGUUGGUUAACACAAAUUCUAUUGUCUUUCUCUAUUUUCGAAUUUUCUCUACAAUUUUCCCUUAAUUAUAUAAUAUGUCAUCAGCACGAGCCUCUUAUCACUUGAGGUUUUGUUUUUCUAUCUUAGAAAUAGAAUUGUUUCCUCUUAUAUAUCGCAAUAAAUAUAGAACUCUAGUUACAUAGGCUUUGACAAAUGGAAAGAAGUGCAUCAACAAAAGCAAGCUGAACAACAAGAUUCUAAACAGCUAAGUUAUUUUAUUUUUAUUUUCAUUUACAUAUCUAGUAUAUAUGAAAUUUGAUAUUUUACAAAGAAAUUAACAUUUUUAUUAUAGAUAUCUAUCUUGUCUAUCUACUUACAAGAUUUCAACUGUUUUUGUUAUUUGUCAGAAAUUCAAGAUUUUUGUUAAGAGUAAAGAUCAAUAUCAAUGUGAUAUUUCAUGUCACCAAUCUUUAUGAGGUAAAGUGAGAUACUCAAGAAUUUCAAUUCUUAUAUAACUAAUGGAGGACAAGAAGUUCCUUAGUUCUUAUUCAAUCAUGUAAGGGCCAGAAGAUCCUUAGAUUUCAAUCCUUAUAAUAUAAAUAUUUGUGGACUUGAAGUUGCCCAAUUCUUAAAAGGAAAAUGAAAACCUGAAGCUCUUUGACUUAUUUUUCAUUGGAACCAGAAGUUUCAACAAUUUAUUUUAUUGCAAUAUUUUGAUUUUUGUUGUAUUUUAUUUUACUUAGUUCUUUUCUUUAGUUUCAUUUUUAUUUUAUGCAAGGACCCGAAGUCCCUAAAUUAUAUAAUUAAAUAAAGUCCGAAGUCUCUUAGUUCUUAAUCCAUUUAAUAUAUAUAUAUACAAGGAUUUGAAGUUCUGCACUUCUCAGAAAGCAAAUCAAGACUUGAAGUUCUUUGAUUUUUCUUUAACUGGAACCAGAAGUUCCAAAAUUUUAUUUUAUUUUUUAUUUUUAUUUUAUUUUUAUUGUUACAUUCAAUUAUUGUUUUCAUUUCAAUAAUUUAUAUUUAAGGACCUGAAGUUUUUAAUAUGACCCGAAGUUCAAUGUCUAAUCCAAACUAUAAGUUCCACAUGUGCAUUAAAAUAAAUAAAUUCAAGAACCUGAAGUUCUAGUUGUAUCAACCUCCAAAUUUAUAUUUCAACAAGUGCAUAUGUAUUUUGAUUUUAGGCUGAAAAAUAUACAUCAUGUUAAGAACCUGAAGUUUCGAUAUUAUUUGGAUUUCAUGUUUUCUAAUUUUUAUUUAUUAUUAUCAUUUUAUUUUAUUACUUUGAACAAUAUCAUAUUACUACAAAUUUGGACCUACAGUUGAAAAUCAGGUAUUCUUUUUAAUUUGACAUAGGCACCCGGACCUGAAGUUUCAAAUAUACGUUAAUAUAUAUCCAAAGUUCAUAAUUGUCUAUUGAGAUUAAUAUUAAUAUGAACUUGUAGUUCAUAUCCUGUCAAGAACCUGUAGUUCUGGCAUAACAUAUAUAAAAUGUUAAUUGAACCUAAAGUUCAAAAUCAAACGUUGUUUUUUCUUUUAUCUUUAUCAUGUUUUCCACAAUUGAAUCAAAAGAUUGGAACUUUCAAGUUCAUUGAUUCUUAGUUUUUAUUAUUCUUAUAUUUAAUUAGAACCUGUAGUUCUAUAUCACACAAUCUAAUUGGAACCCGAAGUUCUUCAAUUAUCAUAUCUAUGCUAUUGCUAUCAAAUUGAGCUUGAAAGACCUUUAAUUCAUCAUUUAGUUUUGAACAUAUUUUUCUUAAAAUCAAUAAUUUUAUGUGAUCUUUUUGAACCUAAUGUUCAAGAUCAAAUUCAGUCUAUAGCCAGAAGUUUUAUUUAUAUGACUUGCUAGAAUCCGAAGUUCUAUACUUUAAAACUAGAAGUUUGAAACUUUUUAAAUUCUCAGUUUAUAAUAGAAAUUUACAAAUAUCUUCACAUUAGAAAUGUAAUUCUAUAAAUUAAAUUUAUCUUAGAAUCGUUCGAUAUAUUCAAUUUAUCUUAUAACCUUCUAUUUUAUUUUUUAUAUUUUAUCAUAUUUUAUUUUUAUUUUUAGAACUCGGUGUGAUUAUUAUUGUAAGUAUUUUUUUAAAAAAAUUAGUACUACUUUAUUGUCUUUGUAAAUUAUUUAUUUAUAUCUUAUUUGGACCAGAAGUUCCAUGUUAAGCAAUUAGGUGAAAUUAGAAGUUUCAUUAUACAUAUUUGAAAUACAAAAUUUAAUUUGAGAUUAUAAAAAUCUGAACUAUUUGCAAUGACAUAAUUAAUUCAAAACCUGAAGUUUUGAUUAUGUAUUUUAAUCAAAACCUGAAGUUUUGGAUAUUUAAUUUGUAUUCUGAACCAGAAGUUAUAAAUUUUGAAAGUUUAAGUCCAGAAAGAAUGUUUUAAGUAUAUUAUAUGAAUUAGAAGUUCAAUGAAUAUAUAUAUAUUUUUUUUUGGGGUUCUAUUUUUCAUGGAUAUCAUAAAAGUGGAUAUUCUUAUAUAUACAAAUAAGAAAGAAAAUAGAGAUCCAAGUAAGAUUGUAAUAUGGAAGAGCAUAAAGGAAUAAAUUUAUGCUUUCAUGUUCCAGGUGCUCCAGCAGUAGCAAUAUAGAAAAUAUGAUGUGUUUCAAUUGUUGGUAAAUAAAAAGUCUUUAUUAUGCAUCCACGAAUUUCAUAUGAUUAUAUCCGUUAUUUUCUGAAGAAAUAUAAGCAUACAUAAUUCCCUGAAGCGAAUGUAAGCUCUAUAUCAUUUCUGGAGACCAUGGUAUUUAUGUUACACUAUAUAUUGAGCAAACAUGAAGAUUUUGCUUCACGUUAUUAUCUUUAUAUUAUUUAUAUUUAGUCCCUAAAGGACAACACUUACCACUCCAAUCAAAUAGCAUUAUUUUGAUGAGACCAAUUUUCCGUGUUAGGGGGAGAAAAGAUUGUUCCUGAAGAAUGACAUGAAUUGAUAUGAAAUGCAUUCAUUAUUGUUUCAUCAAAAUUUUGUGCCACCUAACGUAAAAGUAAGGUAUGAAAGAAAUUGCAAUCUAGAAGAUUGCAAGUCAAAUACUAAAAGCAUUUAAAAACACAGUUAAAGUGACAAAUCACAUCAAAAUGUUGAUGUCCUAAUUAGGCAAUCUAAAGUAAUAGCAAAUGAUUUAUCUAGUUAUGUGCCUAAGUAGUCAACAAUUGGCUCUGCUGAAGGUGAGACUAUAUUAAAAGGUCCAUGCAUCCCAAAUAAUAUAAUACUAUUUGAAAUAUCCGCAUUUCAUAUAUAUUUAAUCUUGCAAGAGAUACAGUCUUAUAAGAAAACAUAAGUCCAUUAGAAAACAACAAAAGCCCUUGAAGAGGUAUGGGUACCUAGUGACUAUGAAAAUGUCUAUAUCUUAUACAUGCUUAAAGAGAAAUGUGGGUUUAUAAAUUGAUGAUUAUCAAUGAUACUAUUUAUAUAUAGUACGUACUAAAGUUAUAAAGGGCUAUGAUGAUAUUGAUCCUCGUUUUAUUAUGAUUGUCGACAAUGUAAACAAAGAUUUGCCAAACUGGAAGAGGUAGUCCAGUAAAAUUGAAUAUUUUUGGAAAACAUGGAAGAAAUGGACCUAGAGUUCGUACACCAAAAGAUGUAAAAUUGUAUUGGUUACAAAUCGGUGCUUGUGAUGAAGUGAAAUAAAAUCACUUGAUAUGGCAAAAUGUAUCCAUGUAAAGACAUGGAAGUUAGAUGAUAUUAUCCUAGUAUAUUAUGUAGAUGCAACCAUGUUUCUUCUUACGAAGCAUGUUCACUGUAUAUUUAUGGAGACUCGCAUUUAUAUGAAAAUCUAAAAAGAUUAUGAAGUUAAGCAUAUCACCAGAAGCGAUCUUUUGAAGAAUAUAUAUGAAUAAAUUCUCAGAGAUGUAAAAUGUCAUAUAUUAUAUAAAUUAUUGAAAGAAAAAUUCUAAGAAGUUAAGGAGCCCGAAGCUCAAUGCAUAUAUAUUCAAAUAUCAUGAAAUAAAAGUGAUCUAAUUGCCUCAAUGAGUACUUUUGAUUGAAUUUUGAGUUCGAGAUUAAGUUCAAUAUCGUUGCAACAUAUUCAAAUUUUUAAAGAAAUUAUCAGAAUAUUUAGGUCUCUUGAAGAGCCUAUGACAUGCUAGCAUAGUAUACAAAAAUUUGUAUGAACAACUUAUUACAUCAUGCAAUUUUAUACUCUUGUCCUCGUAACGGUAACGUAUGAGUUUGUUUAUAUUAUUAUUUUGAUGUUAUUAUUCAAUAUGAUGUUAUUUUAAGAAUUGUUAAUGUGAAAGGUUUUUUGAAAAAUAGUCUAGAUAUUUUUGGUAUUACUCUAACCUCAACAGAGAUUCAAAGGAAUGACACACAUACAUCCUCCAAUGAUGAUGUUGAAGAAAUUUUUAUACAGCGCAUUAUCAAAGCUCACUCUGCAGGAGGAAAAUGAGAUAUCAAUAUCAUUUUUGUUGCAUCUUCAAAUAAUUCAAGUUUGUCGUCAUCAGGAGGAGUAAUUCAAUAGGGGGAGCAUUCAACAAUUUUCUACAUACAGGAAAUAUGCGCUGUACUCUUUUCCCUUCGACUAGGUUUUUGUCCCAUCGGAUUUUUCCUAGCUAGGUUUUAACAAGGCAUCAUAAGUGUGUCCAACACCAUAUCAAUAAUCCAGAAGAAUGGUGCAUGAUAGGACCAUGUAUUGUCUUUCUCUAUUGUCCAACACCAUAUCAUCUAUUGUCUUUCUCUACUUUUGAAUUCUCUCUACAAUUUUCCUUUAAUUAUAUAAUAGGACCAUGUAUAAGGCAUAAUAUUAAUCAAGUGGGCAUUUAUAGUAUUGGGGCAUAUAUUUGUAGAUUUUCUAUUUCAUUUUCUGCUUUAGUCAUUGCUCUGCAAGUUUGUUGACUUAUGUGGCAAUUUGAAAGGUUUCUUAGCUACUUAAAUAACUUAUGUCCCAACAGACUUCAAUUCAAUUAAUGAAAUGUUAUGAAAAAAAGAAGGAAACAUAUGAAAAUCUGAUCCUGAAAAUAGAGAAAAAGGGAUUGUGCCCUUAAUUAUAAAUAUUUGUAUUAUUUAGUAUAUUUUCAAUAUGGGAUCGUUGGUGGGCAAACAUAGCUUUCUUAACAUGAUAUACUUAUGCAAGUUUGUUGACUUAUGUGGCAAUUUGAAAAGGUUUCUUAGCUACUUAAAUAACUUAUGUCCCAACAAACUUCAAUUCAAUUAAUGAAAUGUUAUGAAAAAAAGAAGGAAACAUAUGAAAAUCUGAUCCUGAAAAUAGAGAAAAAGGGAUUGUGCCCUUAAUUAUAAAUCUUAAUUAUAAAUAUUUGUAUUAUUUAGUAUAUUUUCAAUAUGGGAUCGUUGUGGGCAAACAUAGCUUUCUUAACAUGAUAUACUUAUACUUAUUGAGUUGCCCACCCUCCUUCCCCCCCUCCCUGAUCUAUAUAGUCACUUUGUUCUCUUGUGAUAUCAGGAAGGAAGUUGAGGUUUUACUCCAAAAUUAAUUGGCAAUGUGGAGAGUAGUCCAACUCUUUAUAAGCCCUUGCUAGAUUUCUCAACUUCCAAUGUGGGACAUUUUUUACCUUCACAGUCUCACAACGUUAACUUUGCCUUGCUCGCACACAUAUUUGUAUUAUGGAAAUCAUGAACAUUUAAUUCUCUUCGCCUCGACCCUGGUGCCUCUAUGGUGGCAACUAAUUUCAUAGGUAGAUUUUAAAGUUCCACUUGCUUGUUUGAGUUUUACUAUUUACGAUGGAAAAAGAAAGAUUUUUUCUGGUGGAAGAUAUACUGAAAGAGGUGUUGCUUUAUCAUUUAUUAGAUAAAAUUACUAAAAUGUUCAUACCAUAUCAUCAACUUAAUGAUUUUAUUGAAAAAAAUUAACGGAAUAAGGUAGGAUGAGACAUGAAAUAUAUAUAAGGGAAAUUGAGUUGGUUGAAAGUUUACAGGUGAAAUUGAGACGAUGAACAAAGCACAAGUAGAGCAUAUCAAUAGCCUAAAAAUAAUUUAGUAAAUUUAGGUUUUAGCCAUAAAAAUACUUUCAUUUUUGGAAAAAACCAAAAUUUUUCCGAAAAAGACAGAAAAACUCAUCAAUUUUCAAACCAAAGACAUGCAAAUGCAAAAUAUUCUUGAGGAAAUCCAAAAAUAAUAAGGGCAUUUUUGUUCAUUUUGACUUCUUUUAAAAAUAUUUCUCUUUUUUUUUAGCCUUUUUCAAAAUGUGCAAAAUAAUUUCAAGCGACAAGAAAAGUCCACGUCAAAAGAAACUCAGAGUUGAUCACACUGACUGGCACAGCUUCCCUUGCUUGGGAUCCUGCCACGUCUUCCUCCAACGGCCAGUAGAAAUUAGUCCCUCCCUCCCAACCAUAACCAUGUGUUGAUUUCUGCUCAGCUCCACAGUCACUCUCUCUCCCUCUCUCUCUCUCUCUCUCUCUCUCUCUCUCUCAGUUUCUAUCUCUAAAGAAAAAAGGGUAAAGCCAGGGGUCUUACGGCUCCGCCAGAUGGACGCAGCGCCACAGCUCGUCUGCAGCGGAAUCUGCGAACCCCUUCGUCGCAUCUCCAUUUCCAAACAUUCCUUCUCCAACGCUAGAGUUCGGUUUCCCAAACGAAUUAACCGCGUUUUGGCGGUUGCCACUGAGCCCAAACCCGCUCCCUCCGGGCCGCCAAGCACCACCAACGCCUCCUCGCAGACUCCGCCAGUCAAUGGAGUUGUUUCUAACGGAUCAAAACCGAAAUCUCCUUUGCCUAACACCGUCAAUGGCUCCUCGAGGUCUCCGACAUCAAAACCUAUCAAUGGAGUUUCCACGGUGAACUGGAUAUUUAAUAAAAUCUUUGUCUUUGGUCUUUAGUCACUCUGAUUUUUUUUCCUUGCUUGAAUUGGUUUUUUGUUGCAUUCAAAUAGCUGUUUGUGAAAGUCAAUCAUUGGUGUUACUGUUACUGCUUGGAAGUCAUUUUAGAUUGGUGAUGGUUAUGUUUGAAUCUAGAAACUACAACCUUUGUCUACUACCUGCGCUAAGGUUUAGAGGCUUAACUGACGAAUUGGGAGGUUGCUGAUUUCAUUUUUGAUAGAUUGCUUGAUGCCAUUUUGUUCUUUUACUCAUAGAUGGUUGGUUUUGGAAAAUGGCAGAGAAUUGGAGAUGUUUCAAAGGAAAUAAAAAGAGUGAGGGCCCAGAUGGAAGAAAACGAAGACUUGGCAAUACUCAUGAGAGGUCUCCGGGGACAAAAUUUAAAGGAUUCACAGUUCGCUGAAGAUGAUGUUGAGCUUCGCCUUGUUGAGGUAUAUUAUAAAUACUAAGCCUUGGUGUCCUUUUUACUAAAAAACAUCAUAUUCUAGAAGUGGUGGUGAAAAAGUUGUAAGAAUGCAACAAUUGGGGAUGGGAAAUCAAAUGCUUUCCCAUGUUUGGUAAGUCCAGACAUGGGAAAUCGCUGCCUUGCACAUGGGAAAGUAGGGGGGAAAGUGAAGCCCUCCUCCCCACUUGGGUUUUGUUUCCCUUCUCAAGAGAAAGUUUGGGAAAAUGAGCCAGCAUUAAAUACACAUUUUUCAUGAACAUAUUGUCUCCAUUAACAAUUUAGAAUUACAAUAUAGCAUUAAAUGCAUUCUUUUUUUAUUUGAUUUCAUAUGGGUAUAAUUGGAAAAUUAAACAAACUUUGUUUUACAUUCCUACACAAACCAAACAUGUGAAAGGAAAUAAAGUGGUAUUUCUUGAUUACUUUCCCAAGAUUACCAAACAUGGGAAAGGAAUCUCCGUUUCCCAUCCCUUGGGGAAUGACAUGGGAAGUGAUUUCCCCUCAAAUCCGUUCCAUGAACCAAACGGGGGUAAUGGGUUAAAUAGUAAUAAAAAAUUGUUAAUUUCUAUUUGAUAACUAAUAAUCUGAGAAGUUCUGCAGCCAAGUCUUACUUUCUCUCUUGGGUGGAUGAGUUUGGAACUACAUGAGUGUCAAGCACUGGUAAAAUGGAAUAUAAAAACGGGUUCUUAAUGUGUGUUAACAUUUUGAAGUCUUCGAAGGGGUUAGUAAACUUUUAUUGUAGAUGCCAUUGUGUAAAUAAAUGAGAUAAUAAGAUGCAAUUCAUUUGGAGUAGCAUCCUUCCAGUAAAAAUUAAGUGACAACAGCUUACUACGAAUGGAUGUAUAUCACUUUUGUGUUCCUUAAUGCUCUCUCCAAUUGAAGCCAUAAAAAACCAAAGCAUUCUAUUUUCAAACUUGGUAUAGCUGAUGUACUGGUACAUGUUGGUUUUUUAUGCUAUGUAAUUUUUUUUGCAUCCAUAGGUAGACGAAAGCAGUGAAUUUUUGCCCUUGGUAUAUGAUCCUGAUAGUAUCUCUGCUUAUUGGGGAAAACGGCCACGUGCUGUUUUGACACGUAUAACCCAAUUACUCUCUGUUGCUGGGGGUUUUCUCUCGCAUCUCGUGUGGGAUAUUAUAAACAAGACGGUCAAGGAGGUGAGUCUUUUUGGCCCCACUUUUGAGAUAUUGGUACUUGCCUACGAUCAUUUGAGAGAGUUAAACAAUUUAAGAACAUACACUGAUUGGGAAAUUAUUAGUCUGUAGAAGUGGUACCUUUUCUUUCUUAAUUUCUAAUUAGUUGGACUUUCUUGCUCACUUUCCUGCUCAAAUGGUUUUCCUUUAUCCUUCAAAAUAGAUGUAACAGUGUAUAAGAGGCACAAUGCCUCUAUGUUCUUCCUAUCAACAAAAUGUUUCCACAAAUGAAGUGUGUUAUUUCCUCGCCUUUUUGGUUCCUUGUGUAAAAUUGUAGUUGGUCUUGUUCCUUUGGAACAUGCGUGUUGAGGUUGAAAUUUGGACUGUUGUGGUGCAUGUUCAAUCUUCAAAUGCACUCAUGAUUUUUUUUCCUAAUGAUUUAUCACUUUCUCUUAAUCAGAAUGAGGUUGCUAGAGCCAUUGAAUUAAGAGAAAUUGUAACCUCUUUGGGUCCUGCAUAUAUCAAACUUGGGCAAGCAUUGAGCAUUCGACCAGAUGUACUAUCACCAGCUGCAAUGACUGAGCUACAAAAGCUUUGUGAUAAGGUAAAGUCAUUGGUUCUUAUACCUCUUGAAUAAUAGGAGUUGUCAUUGUUACAUAUUACAAAGUUUCUGUGCAAUACCUGUAUAAGCCCUUUUGAAAAUGGGGAGGGAGGGAAGGAGAGGAAGGGGGAGAAAGAGAGAGAAGGGCGAGGUGGCUAGGUGUGGUGGAUAUGAUCCACAACAUCAUUUGAUCCACAAAAUAUAUUCAUUUAUAUCAUGAACACCCUUGUGACAAGUACAAUGUUAACAUAGUAGAGUCAGCCUUUGUAUGCCUAUGUGGCAUGUGAUACAUUCGGUGUAAUGUUUAAGAGAAUGUCAUGUGAGAUCUGUGUCAGUGAGGAUAAUUAUUAGAUGAAAUAUAAUAUUUAGGGCAUACAAACGAUAGAAUAGAAGCUAAAACUCUAAGAACAAGAGGGUGAUAACUUGGUUCUUUAGUUGUUAGAGAUAAAACAUACAUUGAAACUUUUUCAAUUAUAUUAGGCCCUGCUUUAUUCUCCUGUGUUAUGAGGUCAGAGCAGGAGAUUAAGACUCCUUGUAUUUGAAGCUUUCUGGAUCAUAGAAUCAUUGUGAUUUUCUUUGAAACGAAACUUCUUGACCUAAAUUUGAAAGAAACAUUCAUCUAAUAGUAAUACUUUUAAGUAUGCUUUCAUAGCAUGUGAAAAUAUGGUGUGUAUUGUUGUUGAAAAACCUAGGAAUUAGUCUCAUUCAUAUGAAGCUGUUAAAUUCAGUCCUUAUGACUUCGCCAUGCCCCUUCUACAUCCUUUAGGGUCCAUUUGGAUGGAAGGAUUCCUAAUUUAAGGAUUUAAGUGACAUUAUAAAGUUAAAUUGUAAGAUUUGACGACUACAAUCCAUGUAUGCCAAUAUUUGAAUAAGAAUGAAAUGAAGAAAACAAAUGGAUUUCAAAUGACUCCUUGCAUAUAGUCAUUUCAAAUCCAUUCCAAAUGUAUUGUAUCUAGUCAUUUCAAAUACAUUUAAUCUAAAUUUUUCUGGUUUUUUUUAAAUAGCAAAUUUAGCUUUAUUGUCAAAUUCAAAUCCUUUCUUUCAAAUACCUCAAUCCAAAUGGAGCCUUAUCUAACUUCUUUGUAUGUGAAGGCACCACCUGUCGUAAAUGUCACAGAAUUUAGUGUUGGAUAAUUGUUCUUAGAUUUAUCAUUUGUUAAGGAGUAAACAUAGUAUAGUUAUGAUUUGAUUCAAUCUCUUAAUGCUUUUCCAUUGCACAAUGUAUUAAGUUUUCCAUGAAUUUGGCAUAUUGCAAGACUCUGUUUGAAGGUGACAACACUGCAUGCUCUGGCUCUUCUUCUUCUUCUUCUUCUUGUAUGAAUAAAAAAUCUGUUUUACGCAACCUACGUAUAACCUCUGCUGCCUUCAAAUAUAGUUGAAAAUUUCUGUGUUUACAAGGAUAUCAUCAAUUUAUCAUUUUAUGAUCUAAGGCAGGUUAAAAGAGCCACACCAACUUUGCACUACAUACACUCUGAUUAGGUUCAUCUUACUGAAUUCUGAAAAAACUUUCUAAAACUUUUGUUAUUUAUUACUUUAACAGCACUCCCAAACUUUAAUAUAUCAGCUUGAUGCUGCAGAAACUCUUUGAUAUGGCUGUGUGAACUCUUUUAUGUUUGAAAACAGCUCCUAGAUAUUUGUGCGUGAGGGAUUUGAGUAAUGAUGCACAUUAUACAUAAAGGUAGACUAAGAUGGCAAUUUCAUUAUAUAUACAGUUCAUGUUAUCUUUGUCAUAGCUGAUAUGUCCAUUUGAUGAUAUGUGAAGGUUCCUUCAUUUCCAGAUGAUAUAGCUAUGGCUCUGAUUGAGGAGGAGCUUGGUCAGCCAUGGCCUAACAUCUACUCUGAGCUUUCUUCUUCUCCAAUUGCUGCUGGUAAGAAUCAUGAUAAAUAUUUAAACAAGAAGCAUUUUUCUCCAGUCUUUUUAUCAACAACGUGUAGCUUCUGAAGUUCUGUGCUCUUAUAGAAUUUAUCUUCUUGUGGAAAAUCUGUGGCAGCAUCUCUCGGGCAAGUAUAUAAGGGACGGCUGAGAGAAAAUGGAGAUAUUGUGGCUGUUAAAGUGCAGAGGCCUUUUGUUCUUGAAACAGUAACUGUUGAUUUGUUUGUCAUACGAAACUUGGGUUUGGUUCUGCGGAAGUUUCCUCAGGUACAUCUCUAGACACGUGGAGUUGUUGCUUCUUUUUUAGACUUCCUAACUUGCUUUCUAAGGGAUGAAUAUCAUGGAUAAGUGAUUUCUUCCCCUUCCCUCUCUCCCUUUUCCUCUCACCCUUCCCUUAUCUUUCCAGAUCUCUAUAGAUGUAGUUGGAUUAGUUGAUGAAUGGGCAGCUCGAUUUUUUGAAGAGCUGGAUUAUGUUAAUGAGGGUGAAAAUGGAACACUCUUUGCUGAAAUGAUGAGGAAAGACCUUCCACAGGUGAGUCCAACAAGUUCUAACAUCACUUUUGGUAUAUCUGUAGAAGUUCUUGUUUGAUUCAAACCCCAACCCCACCUCCUCCCUCCCAACACACGCACUCACACAAUUAACACACAAUCUUUAUUCUAAUCUUAAAAUCAAACUUAACACUUAAUUUUUAAUGCUAUCUGGUCUAGAUAAGUAGUACGACUUUCUCCCUUGAAGGGUGGAAUUGUAGUCUCUGUAUAUUUGUGCACUUGAUCUUGACUAAAGCUGGAAAUAGCUGGCUGUAGAACCCUAUAAAUUGUGACAAAUGUUUGAGAUACUUUCCCGGAUGUGAUUAGACAUUAACUGUGAUCUCAGCACGUUUCCAAACAGAAAUUAACAUGAGAGCAUAUGUAAUACUGAUUAUGAUUCAUGUUUUCCAGGUAGUUGUACCUAAAACCUACCAGAAAUAUACUUCAAGAAAGGUUCUUACUACAGGAUGGGUAGAUGGAGAGAAGUUAUCACAGAGUACUGAAAGUGAUGUUGGAGAACUAGUUAAUGUUGGAGUCAUAUGCUACCUGAAGCAGGUAAAGUACUAUUAGUAGACUUGGUGCUGUUGUAAUUCCUGAAGGCAUAUUAAAUUUUAGAGAUAGGUGUUGCUUUUCUGGUGAUCUCUUUUUCUUCAUCAUUAAACGUGAUCGUGAAAUAGUUCAGAAAAGUUCCAACUUCAUUUUAUCUUGCUGCUUCGAAAAGUGAUUAUUUUGUCAAGUCAUUUGUUUAGAAAUAGUACUGAUAGACUAGAACAUAAUAAAUGAUAUUACAGGCAAUGUGGCCUUGUGUUCCCUUUUCCACUUUUGUGAUUAGUUUUUGCGUAUGUAAAUGCAAAGUCUACUCUUUCUUGUUUGGGCCAAUUGAAUUUCAAGGAUACUUAGUGCCUUUAAUGACUGCAAACCACGGUUUUUAACUUGUCAUCUUUCUGCAGUUGCUUGAUACUGGAUUUUUUCAUGCUGAUCCUCAUCCUGGGAAUAUGAUUCGUACUCCAGAUGGGAAGCUUGCCAUACUUGAUUUUGGUAAUAUUCUACUCAUUACAGUACUUGCUGAAAGGUCAUGUUUCCACUUGUUUAGAAACAUCAUUUUGUGAAAAUUGGUUUCAUAUGCUUCUGUGCACUAUGUUUAACUUUUAAAAGUGCAAAAAAACAACAAAACAACAAAAAAGAUUAAAGAAUAUACUUAUGUCACCUAUCACUAAAUAGAAAAAAAAUUAAAUACAAUAAAAGAUAAUACACCACGUUUCUUCCAUUCAGUGGAGUUUCCUCACCUCCAGGUUAUCAGGAUUUCAUCUAACUUAAAUAAUAGUCAGAUACACUCUUAAGUCAAAGUACACCAAACACUACUACUGUUAACCUUAUUGUGGGUAUCCUAUUAAGAUGAAUUUUGAAACUUGGACCUAUUCAUUUAAAGACAAUGACAUGAGAAAAGUUAAAGCAUGUCGAGUGAAAUUCUCAAGUCAGGUUCAUUAAGUCUUCAAAUUGACGUCAUGAACUAGCAGGAAAAUAAACAUGGGACAAUCGUAACAAAAUCUGAAAAGAUAGAUUCAGAAAUAUCCUCCGUGCCUGUAUUUCUGCCGAAAAUGUAGCUUCCAGACCUAACAUGAGCAUAUGUUUCUUUAGCAAAGCCUUGCAAUUUGUGACAGUGAUCGCUAUUAGGUAUGCCUUUUCUUCGGUUCAUCAUGAGUGGUUGGUUACGUAUCUUGAUAUUAGACAUAGCACUCCAAAUGUACUGGCAGUCUCACGCAUUUUUGUGCCUUUUGAGCAUAACUCUAAGGAUAACCCAUUAUGCCUCCUUGACAUUGUCCUAGCUUGAGUACUCCAAAAAAAUGUUAAACUGAGUGUUUAUAAUUUCUUCUUGUUGUCAAGCACAAAUCACCUUCUCUAAAUUUCACUUUUUUGGUAAUAGGUCUUGUUACUAAAUUAAGUGAUGAUCAGAAGUAUGGAAUGAUUGAGGCAAUUGCUCACCUUAUUCAUCGUGAUUAUGGAGCCAUAGUCAAAGACUUUGUUAAACUUGAAUUUAUUUCAGAGGGGGUUAAUCUAGAACCUAUUUUGCCUGUUCUGGCCAAGGUUUUUGAUCAGGCUCUUGAAGGUGGAGGAGCAAAAAAUAUCAACUUCCAGGAGUUGGCAUCAGAUUUGGCUCAAAUCACAUUUGACUAUCCAUUUAGGAUACCCCCUUAUUUUGCUCUUAUAAUUAGGGCAAUUGGGGUCCUGGAAGGCAUAGCUUUAGUAGGAAAUCCCGAUUUUGCCAUUGUGGACGAGGCCUAUCCGUAUAUUGCCCAGGUAUCCAUAUUCUUUCAUGUAUCUGAUUCUUUUUAUACAUUAACUUUAGUAUCACAUGGGUAUUAAAUCUGCUAAUGCUGGUGUAAAUCUUUUUUGGUUCGUAAUUCAUUUAAUUAUCCCUUCCAUAUUUGAAUACGAGCCUAUGCAAUAAGUGAAUGUUAGUUGGACGAUGUGAUCAAAAUUGCUGAAAUCGUCAACCUAAGAAGGUUAGUGGAAUAUUGUCUAUGAAAUUUGGUGAUUGACUUGUAACUGGUAAAAUAAAUGAAUACGUACGUAAGCAAAAAUUAUGGGAUACCUGAACUUACUAGUUGUGUUUCUUUUAUCCUCAAGGUUUCAGUAUUUUCAAAAAUUUAUGAGAUGAUUUUAAUGAUUAAAAAAUUUCUCAUUGUACCAACUACAUUGUCCUGUGGAUUGAAGAGAAAAAAGAAAAAAAAAAAAAAAAAGACACUACAAUGUCUUCUGCUACUUUGUGAUGGUUGCUGAUGGCAUUUUCACACACAUGGAAUCAGAAUGAGAAUGAAUCCGAAAUAGUCGUUCCCAUUUAAGUGUCUAGGGACGUAGGUUCUUUAAGGGUGUUUUUAGUAUUAUCAAGAAAUGUUAGGGUAAUUUGGGUGAAGUUGGUUCCUGAUGGACCCAUUCCCAUUCCCAAAUCACCACAUGACUUUUAAUUCCCUCAGUCAGUACAAGUAAACAUGGAAUCACCUGGAAUGGGAAUGAUUCCCAUAACAGGUUAGUAGGUAUGUCAAGGUUGUGUUUCUUUAACGGUAAUGAACCAGUUAUUCUUUAGUCUAAUUUGUAGAAAGAAAUCCUAAAUGGUUACACGCUUUAGCUGCAACAUGCGUUUCUUAUCUCUUUUGUGUUUUGCUCAUGAAAUGCUCCGUCUUUGUCUGAUUAGAAAUUCCCUGUGUUCUUACUUUUCAUUUCACUGUCAGAGGCUCCUGACUGAUGAAUCCCCAAGGCUAAGGAGUGCUUUACGUUACACAAUAUAUGGGAAAUCUGGAGUUUUUGAUGCGGAGAGAUUUAUUGAUGUCAUGCAAGCCUUUGAAACUUUCAUAACAGCUGCUAAAAGUGGAGGUGGAGAGGAAUUGAGUGGUGAUAUGGCAGAACUUGGCAUUCUGCAAGGUCAAACAGAGAAUGCCUUCCCUGGGUUUCUGUCAAAUGGGCCACCAGUACAAACAAGGGCGGCUUUAGCAUUUUUACUGUCUGACAAAGGGAACUUUUUCAGAGAAUUUCUUCUGGAUGAGGUACUUCUAGAAGUUAUAGAAUUAAUGAAAUAUCAUUUAAUUGGCUUCCUAUCCUUCAAGUGCAAAGGCUAUUGUCACUAGUUGGAAAUUGAUUGCAGAGUUGUUUCUCUUUUCAUUUGCCUCGAUUUGUUUGUCUUCCUGCCCUAAAAGAUAUGGGGCUUUCCUAUUCUGUCUAGCUGCACUUAUUUUCCUUUUGGAGUUAAAAGCUUUCUAAGUGUACAUAUCUAGUGAGCCUUGUGCAUGGCUUGGAAUCAGAAUUCAGUUGGCAUAGAAUGUUUUAAAGCAUGCUAAAUGUUUUAACUAGUGUCUUUUACAUGCGAAGCAGAUUGUUAAGGGCAUUGAUGCAGUUACAAGGGAACAAUUGGUUCGUGUUAUGGCAAUUCUUGGUUUUGGUAAUGCUACCCCAGUUUUCAGCAUGGUUCCUACUUUUGGGCUAUUCAAGCCAGCAGGACUUCUACCAACAAUCACAGAGGAGGAUAGAGUUAUAUUGAACAAUGUCCAAACAAUACUCGAGUUCCUGACUGCAGGAAGUUCCCUAUCACAAACAUCAAAUCAGGUACUUACAAGCUUUAUGCUGAGACUUGUGAUUUUAAAAUUCUUGAAAGCUUGUGGCGUAUGAUGUUCCUUCAAGAUACUAAUUUUUGUUAUCUGCUGUGUUUAUGCGGUUGUGGGGGACAUCUACAGGGUUUUAAUGUGUCUCAGGUUAUCCAAGAGCUUCUUCCAGUUUUGCCCAGCAUCUCUUCCAAAGUGCUCCCUGAAGUGCUCAGUCGAUUAUCUUCACGGGUAUUAGCACGUGUGAUUCGAGAUACAAUUUGGUAACAAACUUUUUGUACCUACCUACUUGAACCCCCUCAAUCGUGCAUAUAUUGAGAAGUAUCAUACACUAGUCAAAUGUCUAAUCUAACCUUGUCUUAGCCUCUUAGGUGCAUUUCUUAUGCUCAACACUUGCCAAGCAACCACCAUUGUUGUAUAUAAUAUUUUUUUAAAGAAACGAACGCAAACUGAAAGUCUGGUUCCUUUCCAGAAGCCAAAGGCUAUGUUUUUUAUUUGAUAGUUGAAAAGAAAAAGGUAAAAGUUGAAUAAUUCAAGAUUUUUUUUAAAGCAAGUUUUUUUAAUUGGGGAGUUCAAUUGUCAUUAGAUCUGAAAUAUUAGCUACCUAAUAUGGGCUCCUACUUCAUAGACACUGCUGGCUAUUCACUCUGUUUGAACUUGGAAGGCAGCAAGAUGCCAACAUGUACACUAGCUACAUGCCCUUCAAGAUAUUGAUCACAUCAAUCUCCGAGAUGGGCACGCUACUUACGGUAAAAGCGUACAAGUGAAUUGGAAAGGGUGCAGAAAAUUUCAAUCCGUGUCAGGGGGAAAAUUUUCAAUGUCAUUGUGUUAUUGGCCGGGAAUAGCAAAAUAGUAUUAUCCCCGUUACAAAAACGGAAUGAAUUUCUUAUUUCAGUGAUGGGGAGUUACUAGACUAGGCCUUUUCAAUGGAAGGCAAAAUUGUGAUGUUAAACGAAAUGUCUUCUUCCGGUAAACAAUGCACUGUUUAUGUUGGUGAUAAAGGUCCUUUAUGCCAUAAUGUACACAUAUCAAGAUCAAAUUGAAAGAUGCCAUGUUAUAAGCUUCCAAAUUCCUUCAGUACAGAUUUCUUGCAUUAGAAUAUAUACCAAUACACUGAUAAAAAAGGAGGGGGGAAAAGCCAUUUCAAUUCUGGUAUUGUCCUUUUAAGAGAUCAUCUAGAUGAUUUUACCUUCUGAGACACCUAAUGUUUUAAAAUUUUAAAUACAAACACAACAGAAAGAGCAUCAUAUAUAUUAUUCCCUUGGCAUUCCUUUACAUCCAGAAAAGAAUUGUCACCCUCCACCCAAUUCAUUCAAGCCCCGUGCCGCGAAAAGUACAAAAAGAAAGGGAAAACAUGGGAAAGAGAAGAUUAGAUGCUCCUCUUAGACUGUCUGUUACUUUUAAAAGCAAUGAAUGCAAUGGACCUCCUAUACGUAUAUAUAUAUAUAUAUAUAAACAGUCAAAAGAUAAAGAGCACUAUAUCCUCUAUAUAUCCUUUUGGUUUCACCCAUUUCACCUCACAAGUUAUAAGCGCUGAGGCAAAAGCAAAAGGAAGCAUGAGCAUUAGGCCUUAGUGGAGUGGAGUGGAGUGAGGCAUGAGCAUAUGAUUAUGGCUCCCAACCAUCUUUUCAAAACCUAGAAACCCCACCUCUAAGAGAGGCCCUCCUUCCCACUUUCACUCUCACUCUCUUUAUGUGCAAAUUAAAGCAAGCAAUAAUCAUUAAGGAAAAGCCCCUCCCCUGCAUUCUCUCACUCUCUUUCUCUCCUGUUUCUUCAAAAACUCAUUUGUUUGAUCUGCCUGACCAAUUCAUUCACAUCCCACAUACAUAGAUAGCUCCAAGACUGGUCUCGUGGUUUGAUGUAUGAAACAGUCAUAGCGACAACAUACAACAACAUAAGUAGAAGAGUUAACCUUGUUGGUUAAUUGUACUCCUGGCGGCGUCGGCGCAGGGCAGGUGCACUGCUUUAGUGUGCUCUUGCUAUGUACCAUCAAGAAGCUCUAACUACAAAUGUGAAGAGAGCAACAGAAGCAGCCACAACCGCAACAAUAUUUAUACCAAGAAGCAGCAUCCACCAUUAAAGAAAGAUCAUAAUCAUAAUCAUGAUCUUAAUCAUAAUCAAACACAAGGCACUGCUACUACAAGUGAUGAUGAUGAUAAGAGCAACAGUAAGAGCUGUGGGUCUAGUGGACCUCACAAAAUUGAAGCCCCUAAUCUCAAGAGUAAUCUCAAGAAAACAACAACUGUAGAGGAAAAUCAUCAACUCAGGGCAGAAAAGAGGAAAGUUAGUUGGCCUGAUAUUGCUCAUGGCAAAGAUAUUGCCCAUGUUCAAGAGUUUGAGCCAAGGUAAAUACUUAAAUUUAAGCCCCCACCUACUUACUUUCCUACUAUCAUCUCUUUCCUCUAGGUAAUUUACCAAGAAAACCCUAUGUCACUACUAGACUAGGAAUUUAUUAAUUCAUAUAACCACAUUUUCAUCUCAAACAGUUUGGAUUAUGCCUGUUAAUUAGAUACUCACCAAUUUCAAUGCAAUUCUAACACUCUUUCAUAAUGUAUGCUAAUUAGCGUGUGGGAAGAUGGGGACCUUGAGGGAGUAAGGAACUCUUGUGUUUGUACAAUUCAAUGAGGAGGAUGUCCAACUUAAUUAAGGUACGAUGCCUCGCUUCUCAUUCUUAAUCUUCCAUUUUAAGGUGAUAUUUAACCAGUAAUUAGUAAACCUGUACUGCUAGGCACUAGUACAUCAUCCUUCUUCCCUUAGUUUUGCUCAUAAUAUAUAUAUAUAUAUAUAUAUAGCCAUUUGACUUAGACCAUGCAAGUGCCUUCUUUCUCUAAUUUGUUUUCAUGGUUACACUUAUCCUUUAUGUUUUAUGAUUUCGCAGUUAGGUCUCACUUGAUUGUUUUAACUGUACUUGCAGGCGGAUUUCUUUUUAAACAUUCAAUCAUUAGAUUCUAAAUUAUAGUCAUGAAUUUGCUUAGAGCCCCAACGACAACAUGAGGCGCUGUGAGUGAGUCGAUUUGUUUGGGAAUACAACUCCAAUUGGGUGGUGAAUUCUCUUCAACACUAAAAAUAAUGGCAACAGAUCGAUAGCAAACAAACACCACAAGGAAAAGAUGAAAAUUAUUUUGAAAACAAGUGCUUGAAUUUUUGGGAGAGAUGCGGAUGGAAGUCGGCGAUAUAUGAAGGUCAUGACAUUUGAUAUAGAAGUCUCCAAUGAUAUAAAAUCCCUCUUUUUUUUUUAAUUUGGAUUUUUCGCCUAAGCUGUUUUGUUGGAAUUCAACAUACGUAUUGAAAGUGACCAUGACUUAUCUAGCUAGGUGAGUGACCAUCAAUGUAAAGGAGAAGGAAAGGCAGAAAUUGCCCUUUACAGAAGGAGGAGGGGUAGAGAUGAAUUCUUGCCUUGACUAUUUUACUACGGGAGUUUUAAGCUCGCACGAGAAAACGUGAGGUGUUGUCGUGAUGGAUUCUUGCCUUGACUCUUUUACUACGGGAGUUAUAAGCUCCCACAAGAAAACAUGAGAUGUGUUGUCAUGUUUUUUUUUUUUUGUUUUAACUAUGAGGAAACUAGUGAAUAUAAUGCUGCCCAUUCUUUUUUUGGUCAUAAUUGAUGCCCAUUCAUUGUUUCGAAAAGCUGCCUUAUUAUGCACUAGCCUCUUCGCACGCGUUUCCGCACUUGUGAUAGGCUUUUUUAAAAAAAAAUUUUAAUUUAUUUUAGAAUUAAAAAGGAUAGUGGGUAGUUGUAUUCCAUAAAAAUAGGAUCCAUUAUCUGAUUUUUCUUUUAAUUUUAAUUUUUUUAAUAUGAAAAAGUGUGAAUUUGUCAUUUUAUAUUAACCAAAGGCAUUUUCUGGUAUUUUGAAUGUUUUAACAUUCUCUGGCUUUUGCUUUAUAUAUACCAGUCACUUGGUACAUGCUCACGCAUGUGUCAAUUGGUUUUCUUUUUUCUUUUUUCUUUUUUCUUUUAUUUUUAGGAUUAAGAAAAGAUAACAUGGGUAGUUAUGUUCCAUAAAAGUAGGACCUAUUAUCUGAAUUUUUUUUUAAAAUUUUUUAAUAUGAAAAAAUGUAAAUUUACCAUAUUAACCUCUUUUAAUUCUUAAUGUUUGCAUUAACUAAGGGCAUUUUCUAGUAUUUUGAAUGUUUUAACAUUCUCUGGCUUUUGCUUUAUAUAUAUACAGUCCCGAUCUCUUGGACCACAGGAGUCCAAGAGAUUGUGAUCACCCACAGUUGGAUAUUAAUCCAAUGGUUCAAAAAAGUUUUUUAAAAGGAGUGCAAGAGUGAGUGAACCGUUGAAUUUACAUCCAACGGUGAGUGACCACAAAUCUCUUAGACCCCUGUAGUCCAAGAGAUCAGAACUAUAUAGAUAUACUUGUAUAAAAUAUUGAGAAUAUUCUUAAUCUCGAAAUAAAAAUAAUAAAAGGAUAUUCUCUAGCAAAGAAUAUUUGGUCAUGAGAAUACUUUUUCUUCCAUUGUGAGAUAAAUCUUAUCCAUUUUUCUCAUUAAAAAGAAGAAGAAAAACUCGGGCCUUAUAAAAUGAAAUAUGAAAUUUCAUAGUAACAAAAUGAUUAGAGGAAACUAAAGAGAAAGUUUGCUUGCUUUGAGUAAGUAUGAGGAAACUUGUUGAGGUAAUAAUUCUAGUUGUAGUGAAAGCAAAUAUUAAAGCUUCUUUUCUCUCUCUCUCCCUCCUCAGCUCUCACCCUCUAAUAGUAACCAACCAUGGUUCUUCUCCUCCCACUGAGACUCAGUUAUUAUAUGUUGAUGUUGAUGAUGAUGAUGAUGAUGAUGAUGAUGAUGACAAAACUUCCAAAACACCUAUUUCUUUGGAUUGGCAUCAGAAGAGCAAUAGUUGAUGCUGCACUGCAUGUACGGUCAAGUGCGCGCCUAAAGCUGAACAUCCUGAUCCCGCCUUUCUUUGAUUGUUACAUUCGAUGUUACUUAAAUGCUUUUGGAUUUGGAUUGUUACAUUAGAAUGAAUUUACAUGUUUCUUACUUUUACUCUUUUCUAUGACCACUUCGCACCUCCAAAUAAUAAAAAAUAUAUCAUUUGGGUAAGAGAGAGAAACAAAGGCAGCCUCAACAUAUUUGUACAAGAAAUUCUUGUCUUCUUUAGGCUUAAAUUAGUGUGAGAUUAAUUAACAAAGAGUAUAAAGUUGAGAAACCAAAAGGCAAAAGCUGCAGAUAAAUUAAACGAGGAAAAAAAAAAUAUAUUCCAACAGCAGCCUGUUGAGUAUGUUGUGAGUGAAGUUGAACCCCCAUAUCUAUGCAAAUGAAAUGAAUUAAGUAAUCAAACUGGUGUGUAAACAUCCACCAAAUGUCGCAAGAAUCACAAUAUUUUCCUAAAUUUGUUCCCAACCCCCACAAUGAUUCAGUAGAUUUUCCCUUGAUAAAAAGGGCGAUUCACUUCUCUAUACCAAAGCCUUCUCUAAUAUCAGUCUUUUUUCUCCUUACAGUAGUAUCACGAAAUCACCGAUUAAUGAAAUACUAUUCUCUAUCUGGUAUCUUGCUGAGUUCCUUUGUUGAGCUAAAUCCUCUUUACAUUUGGGUCUUAAGUCUCCCCACGCCUCACCUCAUUUGUGGUGACUUUUCCCUUUCUUUGAUUUGUUCUUCUCCUGCAUUUUCUUUUUCUUUGCCUCAACUGUAACCCACGUAUAUUCUGGGGGAAUUGCAAAUGGGUCUUGGAUGGUUUCAAUCCUACUACUAGAACCAGUAGCAGACGAGCUAGGGCGGUUGUAAGGAGCUCUUAUCCACUGAAACCAAGAUGAACUUGAGGAUUGCAUUGCAGCUGGGCUCUCUGUGCCUGCAACAGGGGGGCUCGAUGGGGGUGUUGCGAAUUCAUCUGUCGGUGGUAAUUCUUCAAGCUUUGUGAAAGUGACAAUUACUCUGAUAGUAGGAACCACAGGGAUAGCAACCUAGAUUUGAACACACAGAGAGUACUCAGAAGAUAGAUUCAAGAGAGAUUUCAAGACAAAAAUAAACGGUUAGAUGAAAUCACUAAAUAUCAACAUCAAUAACCGCAAAGCAAGAGGAAGUCCCACCAAACAAUCACCAUGUCUUAACAAGUUGUGCAACAAAAUUUCUAGAUUCUCAUCCAAAAGUAAAUACAAGUACAAAAAGUUUAAUACGGAACUGGCUGACAUGGCCUUCCCAUCCUUUUACCAUAUGCUGAAAAAAACUGCAAUAAAUAUCUUUCUUCCAUCACAACAAAUCACAAAUUUCCAUCACAUACAAGACUAAAAUAAGAUAAAGUGAUGUGCAAUGGCUUAUCAAUAAUAGACACUGAAGCUUGCUAGUCUACAUAAUACAUACAAAUAUGUGAGUGUUCAAGUACGGAAGGUUAAGUAGUCUAAUAAGACACAUAGCAUGCUAAAAGUUGUUGGAUGAAAAUCCAAAUGUUAACAGAAAGGAAAAAGAAAAACAAUAUGUGAAUAGGUAAGAAGCCACAAUACAGUGCCAAUAAUGCUUCCCUUAAAAUUUCAAAUAAGCCAACCUCAAAAGUAAGAGUAGAAAAGCCUUAUGAAGAGGCAAUAGUCAUUCCUAAUUUUCCCCGCAUAACAUUCUCCAGAUUUGAGAUACUAAAAUCCAUUUUAAUGAUUUCAAAUGUGUGGGCAUGGCCAAUGGCCUUUCAACUAGUUGCCACUUGCACGGUGGAGGGUGAAACCCAAGGUUCAAUCACUGACAGGUGCAUGUGUUCGUAAAAAAGAACCCAGUUUCAAAUACAGAUAUAACAUAAUAAAGAUACACAGAUAUUCUUAUUAUUGAAAAAUAAAAUACAAAGGCAUGAUGCACCAACAAUUCAUUUAGAUAUGCAAUAUUAGUCAUAACUUAUAACAAUCUUUGUUAUAAUGUUAAGGAUGGAAUAGUAACUCAUUAUAACCUAGACACAGGGAUCCUUGAAUCAAACAUCAGUCAUAAUGCGUGUCUCAUAGACCCUCACAACGUUUUCAAUUACAGUUACGGUACUAUUCUAGAUGAGGGAUUAUUGUGAUUAACAUUUUAAGUAUAAAUACAUGUUAAGAGUAUCCUAAAAGAAAUGAAACAAAAUUUUGGCAAAUAAUAAGUAUCAAAAUUUGAUAGGCAUUUGGUUGUUAAUUUAUUUCUUCUCUCAUUACAUGUUAUACAACAUUGACAAAUUUGGAAUUAAAAAAAACAUUUACUUAUUUUUAGUUAAUCAAAUAUAGUUACCUAUUAACUAUCUUGCAUUUUCUUUUCAUUAGGUCAUGAAGCUAGUUCCACCAAAUUAAGACAAAGUCGUACAAUUUCACCUCUUCAAGAUUAGGAAUUCAACUACAAAAGCAAUCUUUUCUCAGGUGCAAAUAUUACUCUAUAAGUCGUAAAGCUGAAUGGACAAAUAGCAAAAGAAGCCAUUAUACAAAAAAUAUAGGGUUCAAGAACUCGUAAAUUAUCUGUCAAUAAUUAUAUUCAGAGUAAAAUACUCAUGUCUAAACAAAACAACAUCAACGUUUACUAAACAAUGUUAGCAUUGCGCGAUAUUAGAACUAUUAGAGAUGACCUUGUAACUUUCUUUUGUGGCAGACAAGCCUGGCAAAGACAACUUUUUGGGCACCUAUAAGUUGAUUUAGUCUGUUAUUGGUGCGAUUAAUUAUUUGAGAGCAUUCAAGUUGACUUAUUCUGUUAGCGACGGACUCUUGUAUAUCCUUACAUGUGCUGUCAGCUCAGCAACAAUACACGCAUAAACAGAUUCACGUUCAAACUUAUAUGUCUGUGAAUUGAACUGUGGGGGGGACAUAAAACUAGUGUUUAGGAGGAAAUUGAAUAAAAAGAACCAACCAAAGAAUACUUUACAUGAGAUGAAAGAGCCUCUAUUUCAAGAGAAGUCAAAAGUCAAAGCCAAGGGAUAAUUUAUCCUACAACUAAGUAAAAACUGUAAAUCCCAAAAUGGAAGGAAGUAGAAAAUCAAAGCUCAAUGGCAGAAACCAGAAAGACUUCACGUGGAUCCACACAAAGUAUUUUAAAUCCCAGUGCUCCAUAAUCAACUCUGCUAAAUGAGUAGAGUCCAGUUCAAGCUUUGAUCAUUACCUGGAAAACUUGGAACAGGUUUGAUCUAAAGUUCUAACUAUUUAUAAGGGCUUAGUCCCAUCAACCCCAGUUGUUCAGUGAACCCUAUAACCUCAAAUUGAAGACAGUAGAAUAAAAUAUCAAAGGGCAGAAACCAGACAGACUUCAUGUGAAGCCACACAUAUUAGUAAAUGUCAGUGCUCAAUAGUCUACUAUGCUAGCAGAGUAAUCCAGAACAUUUUUUGGUCAUUAGCUGCAAAACUUGGAACAGGAUUCCAGUACUGUUCUAACUGUUCGCAAGGGGCUUACCCAGUUAUGCAACAUAUCAUUCAAUUAUAAGUUCUACAGUCUAAUCUCUAAUUAUUACUAUGAGGGAGGCACAAGGAAAAGAAAUCACCUACCCUUUACAUGGGCUAUUUGCUCAAAUACGAAACUCUAGGGAAGACACUUGUGAUAUCAUUUUAUUAAUAACUUAACAUUGUAGAUCCUUCUACCGCUCAAGUCCUCAAGUGUACACCAAAUUCAAAAGCAAAAUAUCAAUAAAUAACGAAAGCAGCAAAUCAUUCAUGAAAGCAACAAUUGAAGACUCAAGUAAACAUUAGUUCAAAAUUUACCUAGGAUUUUCGUGUGGCAAAGGUUGGAUGGCAAUCAGACGGUAAGAUUCCAAUUUCUUGGACAACAUACAGAUGACUAAUUUUUUUUAUAUGACCUAGUAUGAGUCCCCAUAUGCCAACAUUUUCACAGUGCCAAAGACUUGAAACCAAAACCCCUAAAAAACUAAAACAGUCCUUUAAUAGAGGGUACAUCAUCCUACUCUUAUGACCAUAGUCUGAAAUAUUGAUAAUAUCGAGGAAAUAUCGAGGAUAUUUUGGUUUUUUUGAAUCACGGAUAUUUCGGAACAUAUCCAUGUACAUAUCGUAUAAAUAUCGACAAUAUCGACGAUAAUAUCGGAAAAUAUCGAUGUCGAUAAUUUCGCUCACAUUUCAGCAAUAUUUUGUCAAAAUAUCGGUGUAAUAUCGCUAAAAUAUUGAAAAUAUCGAAAAUAUCGAUGUGAAGGAAAAAAAAGUUAUUUUUAAAAAAAAAAGAGGGAAAAAAGGGAGAAAAAAGCACAAAGGGGAUAUGAACCCCUCCCAUUUUACUCCUCCAACACCUUAAACACCAUAUCACUUAUGUUUUUGUGAUAAUAUGCUAAAAUAUUUAUAUUUAUAUGGGUGGUAUGUUAACAAUUACAUGCAAAACUAUUUUGGGGAUUUAUCAUUUGAUGACUACUCUUCACAAUACACUUACUCUACACAUAGAGAUGAUGACGAUAGUGAAAAUUUUGAACCUCGUAGGAACUCUAUGUUGUACUAAGUCAUUCAUGUAUCUUACCAUGCAAUGUAUAAAGUGUAAAAUAUUAUAGUAAAUCAUUAUAUAUGAAUGAUUAUAGUGUAUUUAAUCUUUUGCAUUAAUUAUUACAUAUUUUUUACACUCAUAGUGUUUGCCCGCUUGCUGUAUAAUCAACUUAAAUUAGUUAAAUCCAUCAUGCAAUGCAUUUCCUUCUUAUUUUUUGUGAUAAACUCAUAGAUAAUUGACUAAAUUGACAUUCUCCAAAGUUUCAAUAAAAAUUUCCAAGUUUUUCUUACAAUUUCCGUGGUUUUUAUUCAAUUUUUAUCGAUAUCGAUAAUAUCCCGAUAUUUCCAUCGAAAUUUCCAUAUUUUUGGACUACCGAUAUUUCCGAUAUCAUCGAUAUUUUAGACCUUGACACAACAGAAUCAGGCAGGCACAGGAAAAAAAAAAAAAAAAGUGCUUUAAACAAGUUAGAAUAAAUAGGAAAAGCAAAAAUAAAAAAAACAUACAUGGAAAUAGCAUACCCACAAACCAGAACAGGGUAACAAAGUGAUAAACGGAGGGAGGCAUACCUUGACAGGAAAUGUUCCCAUUGGAAGUUUGGUCGUAAGCAGCUCCCUCAAACGACGGAUUGCCUUAACCUUGUUUGCCAAAAUAUCAAGCAAUGGCAACAGUUCCUCUGUUUGUAGAGGAAAGUUUGGGGAAAGCCAGAGAAUAGGCCUUAACCCUUUCUUAUACUCGUUCUCCUUGCUUGCAUCCUUGUGACGAUUUCUGAUAUCAGAACUCGUAGAGGAAGAUGCCUUCAUAUCCCUUCCUUUCCGGUGAUCAUCCCCCCUCAUAACGACGUCCACAUUACUUCUUCCAGGUCUGCUUUGAUUUCUUGAAGGAGAAUCCCCUAGCAGAUCGCUCACCUUCUCGUCUACACAGAGAGAACUUCUUGGGGGUAUAAGCUUUUUCUGCUCUUCAUUUUUAUUAUCUCUUUUCCUCCAUCCACCAAACCAUCCUUUUUUUUCCUGCUUAUUAUUCUCUCCAUUUCUACCAUUACUUACAUCUUCAAUAGGAAUCUCCCUAUGCUCAUAACAACUAUGACGAUGCUCAAUCAUCCCGUCACUAUUCUCGUUCGACAAUUCGGACGAAUCCAGUUUAAGUGCAAUUUCAAGUUGCCUCCUCUCAUCCUCUGUCAAUAUAUCAUUGAGUUCCUCACUUUCUGUUUCAUUUUCGUUGCAAGUUGAAAAAAACUCGUCAUCUGUCAUAGCCCCCGGGACCCUCCUAGAUUUGAUACUGACAACCACAUUAUGCAUAUCAUAUACCUUGGCCCUCCAUGAACCAACCAAUUCUGUUUUCUCCUGCCGCCUCCAAGUCAACUGAGGUAAGAGAACUGCCUGAGUCACAUCAAUCCCAGGCCUGAAUAUAUUAGUCUGAGACAUUGCAACCACCUCUUGCCGAACUUCCUCUUCAGUUGCUUGAGAACCAGCACCAUCCAAAGCAUUCAUCACCUCCUUAUCCUUGUGUGAGAUCAUGCAAAGUGACCCGGGAGGCACCUUACCAUCUUCAGACCCAUCACCAAGGAAAAGAACACUCUGAUCAGAACGCUGAAUUCUGAAACCAUCAAAACCAGCCAAUGUCAUAUCUGCCCUCAAAUUUGCACCCCUUUUCCAGAUCUUGUAAGUAUCUGAUGGGGCAAUUCUCGAAAUGAAAGGAAUAACAGAACUCUCAAAGUGGAAUGUAAUUUCCAUGUAGAAGUCCCUCAUCCUCCGCAUAGUUCCAAUUAAACGAGGCAAUCUUCUGCACCAUUUUGCCCAAGCCAGUGGCUGGUAGUGCCUAACUAUAAUCAUGGAAAUUGCUUCUUCUCUAUUGCAAAUUGCUUCUUGGAGUGCACUCCAUCCAUGUUCAUUCUGCAAGCUCCAAUCCGCUCCAGCAACCAUAAGCAUUUCAGUAGCUGUCUGGUCACCAAGUUUUACAGCCAAGUGAAGAGGGGUCUCACGAUUCGGGACAUCUCGCCUAUCAAUCACAGCAGCAAUGGCAUCAGCCUUCUCCUCCUCAGCUAAUGAAGCUGAUUCAGUUCGAAUCUCAGCAGGGUUACAAAGCCGGGGGAGACCAGCAAGAAUCCUCCUGAGACUGGCAUAAUCCCUCAUGACUAUGGCCUUGUGCACAGGGCUAUGAGCAUACUUCAAAACAUCAAUUCCAGCCAUGCCUCAGGAGAAUAUAACACCAACCCAAACUAUAUAUACACAACCAAAAACCCAAUCAAUGAUCCAAUACCGGAACACAAGAAGAUAAGGUGGAUGAUCACUAUCCCUUCAAACACAGCCCGAAAUUAGAACUCAAAAAGGCCAUAUAGUAUAAUCAGAACCCAUAAACGAAUUGAUUAUUCUGAGUAGUAAAUUCAUCAAAUGAAACAGACCCAGUUCAUAAUUGGCCAAGAAAUUGACAAAUUCGUAAUAAUCUUUCGAAGAAUCGAAUCAGACCCAAAUCAAAUUACACAGAGAUGGCACAGGAAAAUAGAAAGAGGCCGUUUACACUUAUACCAGAGACCCAAGAAAAGAACAUGGGGUGGGCCCAAGGCGAAGAUCAAAGAGUCCAAGAAAUCUCACCGUCUUCUGCUUCUUUUUGGUUCUUCUGUGACCCCCCAAAGAGACCAAGAUUGCACCAAAAGAGACUCAGGCACUAAACCCCACCACAAAACUCUCUCUCUCUCACUAUCUUCUCUGCAAGUUAAAAGAAAAAAGAAGAAGCUAAGCUAUCCUUGUGAUCCAAUCCAGAUCAGACAAACCCAAGAACAUGCAUGUGGGUGAGUGAAACAAAAUGCUAUUAUAUUUCCACAAGUUAUUAAGAAGAAUAAAAGAGAGAGAGAGAGAGAGAGAGCAAGAAUCUGGGGAGAACAAGAAAAGUAAAAGGGAAAAAAAAUCAGAAAAGGAAUACAAGAAAGCAACAAAACCCCACCACCCAAGCAAAGCAAAGAAACUGUUUGUAUGGAAAAGGAAUAACGAAGGAGGAAUCAAAGUGAUGUACAGAAAGAAAACCCCAUUUUGGAGAAAGGGAGUGAAAAGAGUUUACCUCACAAAAGUAAACAGGAAAUGGGAAAAGUAGGAAUUGGGAGGGAGGUCUGAGACCGAGAUGUUUUGUUGUAUGAGGAACAAAAACAAGAGGAGAGCUGGAGGAGAGGCAUCAUUUUCAUUUUAAUUGUUUUUUCAAUUUGACCUCUUAUUAUGUAAAAGAUAAACAAACAUAGAUAAGAAAGAAAGAUGGCCAAGUCCCGGAAAUGAUAAAGGUCGGAACAAGAGAGAUGCUGAUGAGAUGAGGGUCCAAAACAGGAAGGCAGCAUGUGACCACGAACUAGGAGGGAACCUGCUUCCCCAUUUCGUCCUAUUAUUUUCGUCCACUUUUAGUAAUAAAAUAAAAUUUCAUUAAAUGUUCAUUUAUCAUUAUUUAAUAAUGUUAUAAAGUUCCAAAUCUCAGGUUUACUUUUCUGUUACAGAAGAAUUCAAUAGGGUUUUUCAACGGUAAAAUACAAAAUCCAAUUCAAACCCAUCCAAAUGAAUUUUGGAUUGCAUUCAUUGGAUGCCUAUUGCAGAAAUCCCAUUUAAUUGGAUUGAAUGUUGAUUUUGGGUAUUGAAAACCAAUUAAAACGGAAUCAAUUCGCCGGUGGAGUCUAGUCCAGUAGAAAAGGCUCAUGUUCGAAUCUCUAUCGCACAUAAAUUUGAAUUUUUAAAAAAAAUCAACUCAAUUUUUUUUUGCCACUUGGCAUGUUUCUAUUGGUUCUAAAGCUAAGUUACAAUAGAUUACACAUGGCCUUCCCACGACCAUCCAACUUUCCCCUCACUCGUUUCUCCAGCAGCUUUGUAGUCAACUUGGAUAUUUCUGCCUCAAAUUGUGGUUUUCGUUGUUAGCUAUGUUGCAAGAAUUAUAUAUGUAAAUUUAUAGAGAGUUUAUUUAUUAUAAAUGGAUAGGAUUGGGUUGGAUUGGAUGAUAAUAUGGCAAAUCCAAUUGUAAUUGGAUUGGAUGUUGAUUCUUCAAUUCGGUGUCAAUUCUUGUUGCAGCAGCUACAGGGUCUUCUCUAUCUUAUGUGCCUAGGACAACCAGUUCAGUGGCACACAUGGGAUAUCACACGGACAAUUUCAAGACGUGGUCUAGAAACGAGAGGAGUUUUUCAACUUUUUAUUUUAAUUUUUUUUUUAAAUUUUAAAAAGUUAAGGGUCAAAUACAAUUUAAAAAAUAACAGUUGUGGGAAAUGAAUUCCUACGUUCUCUGAAAAGACAUUUGCACUAUAAAACUAAUUGUGUGUUUACUAAUCAAGAAUUGGAAUUAUUAUCAAGAAUUGAAUUCCACUUUGAAAGAUUCCGGCGUUUACUUCACAUCAAUAAAUUAAAAAGUACGUGGGACUCACAUAAAAUUAGGAAUUGAAUUCCUGAUUUUGGAGGAAUUCAAUUCUUGGGUGGGAGGUGGUAUUCUAAUUCCUGGAUAACUAACCCAUUAGGAUUUCUUUUUUCUUUUUUUUUUUACCCAUUAUAUCCUCACACAAUUUUUAAAUUUGCCAUCUACUUUAACCCAACAACGAGGAUAUUUUAGUAAUUAGUACGACUCCUACCCCAAUUCCAUAUGAUUUAGUAAACAACUUCAAUAGGAAUCCGGAAUCUAAUUCUCCUUAAUCCAACUCAUUCUCAAUUCAAUUCCUCCUAAUUCAAUUAUGGAUUAAUAAACAUGUCAUAAGAUAAAAGACAAUCUUCAAUCUUUGAGCACACUCGGUGUGAAUCAAAGAGCUUCUAAUGCCUAAGUUAGCUUAACUGUAUGGAGAGAAAAGUAUGAUUUCUUGGGUCAAGGAGCAAUUACUUUCUUCAAGAGGCGAAGAAGGUUUAUACUCAGCUCUUUGAAGGCUAGUUUAUUGUUGUGAGAGGUUCCGUAUUGAACGUUAAUUGGGGGUGUGACGAUCCAUUGAUGUGCACGUGUGUAAGAUAUUUACCCAAAAUAAUUGAGUGUGACCCCCUUAAUUAUUGUUGUUACAAUUAUUAGAGAAAUUUAUAAGAUUUGGGCGGCCGCCUCGAGAGGACACCAUCUUGAUUUCACCCUAAUUUGCAAGUUCUGGGUUCCAUGCAAAUUGCAUGGUGUUGAAGAUUUUCAAAAUAUUCAACUGAUCGGAAAAGACAAAAACCUUCAAAUGAACAAUCUGGAAAGAAAGAAAGAAAAAUCGACUGGUCGGUUUUGAAGGAAAGGUUCCUGAAAGCAAGUGACCGGUCGAUUUUGACAUUAUGAGCAGAAUUUUCAUAACUUUUGAAGCUCUGGACAUAUCUCUUGGUACGAACAUAUGAGAUAUAAUUAUGGAAUAGUAGGUAAGCAAGUAUAUUAUGAUUUGAAAUGGAACAUUGAAGACCCCCUCCCGUCUUCAUAAAUGUAAUAAACAACGUGAAAGUGAACACAGGCCAAAGCCAUUGCAGCAACAAGGUUCACCCCAUGACACAUGCCCUACGCAAGCUUCAAAAUAAACAAACCCAAUACACACCAAAACUACAUCUAGGAACAAGAGCAGACAAAUCAACGCAGAGUCUGACAGAUGCAGCUUCCUCUUCCUUCAUUCCUUCAAGCAUUCAAGCAUUCAAGCCCACGCUGUGAAGCACCACGGUCUCAACAGUGAGCCCAGGCCCAAACCCAAACAGCACACCCCAAUCCAGUCCAUCUCCUGUGGUUUUCAGUCCUUUCUCGGCAGCCCUCUUCCUUACCUCAUCCAAAAUAAACAGCACACAGGCACUGGACAUGUUUCCGUACUCCGAUAGUAUGUGUCUUGUGGCCUCUAAUUUUUCAGGCUUUAGGCCCAAUUUGGACUCUACUUGGUCUAGAAUUGCUGGGCCACCUGGGUGUGCAAUCCAGAAUAGUGAGUUCCAAUCAGAGAUACCCAAAGGUUGGAAGGCCUCAUUCAGACUCUUCUCGAUGUUCUUCGAAAUAAGCCCGGGAACAUCCUUGAGCAGAUGAAAUGUAAGCCCAACUUCACGGAGAUGCCCGUCGAUAGCUCCAUCGCUGUCGGGAAGGAUGGUUUGGGCUGCUGAGACCACUUCAAAUAAGGGCUUCUCGAUCUCGGGAAUUGGGUCCGCACCCACAAUAACAGCUGCUGCACCAUCACCGAAUAAGGCCUGGCCCACUAAACUGUCAAGGUGGGUGUCACUGGGCCCACGGAAGGUGACUGCAGUGAUCUCCGAGCACACAACGAGAACACGAGCACCCUUGUUGUUCUCGGCCAAGUCCUUGGCCAACCUGAGCACCGUGCCGCCGGCGAAACACCCUUGUUGGUACAUCAUGAGUCGCUUGACGGACGGGCGGAGGCCCAAGAGCUUAGUGAGCUGAUAGUCAGCCCCAGGCAUGUCCACACCACUGGUGGUGCAAAAGACCAAAUGGGUAAUUUUGGACUUGGGCUGGCCCCAUUCCUUAAUGGCCUUGGUGGCAGCUUCUUUGCCGAGUUUUGGAAUUUCAACAACCACCAUGUCCUGCCGGGCAUCAAGGGAAGGUGCCAUGUACUCACACAUAGUUGGGUUCUCUUUUAGAAUUUCUUCAGUCAAGUACAUGUAACGCUUCUUGAUCAUAGAUUUGUCACCUGAAAAAAGCAUAAACAGAAAAGUUACCUCACAAUCACAAGUGCUGAAGAAUUAUUAAGUGUUGAAAAUCAAAUCCAGUGGCAAGGCAAUACGCAAACUUUUUACUGUUUUUGGCACAGCGAUGGAGUUUUAGAAAUUGAACCCCAACCCCAACCCCAACCCUCAAUGAGGAGAGAGACAGAGAGACAGAGAGACAUUUCUCCAUUUGGUGGACCUUGUAAAUAUUUAAUGUUCUCCUCCAACCCAAGUGACCUAACCCACCUCAAAUUCCAUGUUCUAUUUAUUGCACCCAAAACAAAAAACAAAAAAACCAAUUUAUUGAAUUCAAACCCCACAAAUAUGAAAUCACAUCAUGUUCAUGCAUAAAUGACAAAUUAAGGGAAAAAUUAUCAAACACCUUUGAAAUAGUGAAAAACAAAGUGUGUAUAUAAAAUGGUGUCCAAUUUGCCGAAAUCUACCCAAAUUUGUGUGUUUUAUUUUUAUUUUUGGGGUGCAACACACAGAACAAACAUGAUCCAAAGUUUUUAUAAAAAAUUCUAAUGAAAUAAAAACAAGAAAAAAAAUAAUGAAUGUAGAUCAGAAGAGAAAGAAAAAAGAGUAGAAAACAAGUACUACUUACACAUGCGCUGGAAUUUUUCUUUAAGCUCAGCUUUGUGCUCACUGUUGGUGAUACGAAAGUAGUAGUCAGGGUAGGUGGCCUGAUCAACACAAUUGGGAGGAGUUGCUGUCCCAAUGGCCAACACAGUGGCAGGACCCUCAGCCCUUUGAGCCUUGCGAACUUCCUCCACGGUCACCAUUUUCAACUGAUCAACUCAAACAAAAGAUAUAUCAGAGAGAGAGAGAGAGAGAGAGAGAGGUUGUAUAAUUGUUGCAGACGCAGUGGAGAGAGAGAGAGAGAGGGAGGGAGGGUGUGACAAAAGGCUGAGACAAAUGGUUGUAUUUAUAUAAUGAGGAGGAAAAGAAGGAAAAGAGGCCUGAAGAGAGAAGAGGGUAGCUGAGAAUCACGUGCUUGACCAAUGCCUCAGUGGAAGCACCCUCCUCAACCAACCUUAAGCCUUUUAGUUUUUAGAGUUUAGAGAGCCGGCUGGCACGUGUGUGUCUUCUGAGUUUGGCGUGGCUGCUUUGCCCAUCAAACAUUCGCAUCACCAACAUGUGAAAUCUAUUUCUAUCUUACGUACUAUCACUUUGAAGCUGACAAGAAAUUAAGUAGCUAGGCAUGAAAAAUGUAUGGUUGAGGCCAUGCGACUAAGUGGAUCAUGGAAGCCAUCAAAGCCAUAAGUGAGAAUAUUGAAUUGGUCUUCGCCCACAUUACAUGAAAAAUACAUAUAUCUAUAACACGUUACAGCAUUGAAACUAUUUGAGACAAAACGUCAUCCAUGAUGAAUGAAAUAGGGCUUUUAAAUUUUGGCGUUUUCAAUAGUUACGUUGAGAAUAAUAACUGAUUCAAAAUUAGUAAUAAAGUCACGCUGAUAAAACGAUAUAGGACAAUAAUGAACAACUUUCUCAAAUUUAUUGGAAACAAUCAAUAUGUGAAUAUAUGAUAACAUAAAUUAUAAAUCAGAUACUCAACUUUAUAAUAACAAAAGUAAUUAACAAUUCAAUUCAUAGAAUCAAAGUAAAUGAAUGAGUUUAAAUAACUCACUUCAAGUAUGAUAGAGGUUUGCAUAUGCAAUGUCCAAUAUUCGCACACAGAAAUUCACUCCUUACAUAUGUAUUUUGUAGUUCUUUAGGCAUCUAUCUCCAAGGUACAACUAUCAAUAUUCAAAGUUCAGACAAUUAAACUUUGAAUUCUGGCGAACUAUAUAUGCUUUCUCACUCAAUGUGUUGAGUGAUUGUGAGUGAUCAAAAUUCCAUCCUUAUUGCAGAUUUUGGCUAAAUGCAUCACUUUGAAACAAGUUCGAACGAAUUUGUUAUUUAAUGGGAUAUCAAUAUGCCACAAGUGUGAUAUAUUUGUAACUCAAAAUGCACGUGAAAAACCAUGUGCACAACAGUCCUUCUCUCCAUUAUCGGAAAGCGAAUGGAGUGGCUGACAAAUUUGCUCACUUUGCUUUGUCGUCUCAUGGAGGUUCUGUGUUGUAUGAAUGGAUGGGAGCACCUCCUGGGUGGCUUCUUGAUACUCUAGUGCAGGAUUCUCUAUUAACUGUAUUUCAGUUUUAAUUUUCUAUAUGGGUGUGUGUGGUACUCUUUUUUACUCUAGGGUUUUGUCCCACGUGGUUUUCUCCGUGAAGGUUUUAAUGAGGUCACUCUAUACACAGUGGGGCUUUGUAAUCAUUUUCUCUAUUCAAUGAAUGAAAUCCAUUGCUUGCUGCAAAAAUAAAAAAAGGGGGCACUUGAAAUGUUAGGUUAUAAGUAUCUACAUCGCAACUUCCUUGUCCUAAUUUGAGGAACCUCCAUAUUUUAUUUAUCAUGUACUUUUUGUGGAUUUUAAUAGUUAAUAGAUGUGGGGUUAAGUGGGCCACUUUAACUUUGGGGGAGUUGAGGGGUAAAUUCAUAUUUGACAGAAAUUUCAGAGGGUACUUUAUUUAUUUAUUUUUUUGAGAUAGAGGGAUGAAAAUUUUGUUGAAAGAAAGAGAGAACUAUGUACAAAAUGACUAUAAUUGAAGACAGAGAAUUAUAUAAGUAUCUCUAUACAUCUGUAUACAUAAGGGAGAGGUCAUCGGACUAAGGAGCUUCCACUAUAGUAGCAAUUAGAGGGAUGCUAACGUGGUAGGAUCAUUAUGGCAAAUGCACAAACGAUGACUAAUUGCUAUGCAUAGUCAGCAUCCUACGUGGAAAAAUGGACCGGAAAUGCACUUAAAAUCGAAAUCUAAGCUUCUUAGUUCGUAGAUUUGGCCAAAAGAAGAAGCUUCUCAGUCGAAAGAAUUUGGAGAUUAGGAUUUGGAGUGUAUAAUUGAAGAGAGAGAGAGAGAUAUAUAUAUAUAUAUAUUCAAAAAUAUGAGAAUGAAAGAAUAUUGUAGAAAAAUAAGAAGAAUCGAAAUCUUGCAAGAAGCACGAAUAUUAAAGAGGACAAUGACGGUGCCUAGAAAGAAAUGAGGUUCUCAACCUGAGUACGGUAAAUGGCCCUUCUCUUCUGAAAUGGAAUCGAUGAAGGUGAGAGAUUUAUAGAGUGUGGUCCAUGUUUAAGCUUCUUUAUUGUCUGCUUUCUUUGUUGAGUCGGGUCCAAAGACGUUGAGUUUGAAAAGUCUAGAAUUAAAAAUUGUUGUGGUCUCCUAUGUCUUGCUAUUAUUUUUCAUGUUUACUUGUUUUAAAGGUUCUUUUAGUGCUUGAUGUCUGUUUAUUAGUAAUUUGGUGAUUGUGUUGCCUUUUUAAAAAUGUAUAUAUGACUAGGCAGUGGUUAAAGUGUGUUUUUUUAUAUUUUGUUGUGCAUAUGACAAAGGAUAGUCACAUUUGAAGUACACCAUAAAGGUAGAAUGGCAAAGUCCCCAAACCUUAAUGAGUGGUGGUUUUAUGUGGGGGGUUUGUUGAUUAUUUGGAUUGGUGUCUUCUGGACUACAUAAAUUUGUUAGAGAUAUACGAGUAUGCAAAAGAGCUUGGCUACCAUGACUAAGUGGUUUUGACAAGGAUACAAAAUGGUAAGGAAGUGUGUAUAUAUAACGAUGCUCAACUACUUGAAUGGUGUCAUUUGGUGUCUCCUAGCUUUGAAAGAGUGAUUAUAAUUUACUUGGAACACCCAACUGUUAUUAAUGUGGAUGAAACUAUAGUGGCUUGAAAAGAGAUGGAACAUAUUGUAAGAAACCUAACUGCUGAAUUUGAGAAUGAAGAUGAGGGUGAUGAACAAUCUGGUUAUGAUGGUAUGUACGAGGAGGAUUGAGGAUGAUGAGGAUGAUGAAGAGGCUAUAAACAUAGCAAUCCACAAUUUCUUCUCUCUUGCUCUCACAUGCCCAAUCUAAUCUUCAACUUCUCUCAUUGUCCUCAGCAACCAAGCCAUCAAAGCUCUCUCACGGGGAGGCAUUUCAAUAUCAACCCAUACAAAAAAAACCCACAACCAUUUUUUCCGCUCUGCAUUCAAACAAAAAUUCCAUCAUAUUCUCACAAUUUAUUAUCCAAAUUUCUAUAAAAUAGCAAGUCCAAAACCUACCUCUGACUUUGGACACACAAAGAAAUUCCAAAGUGGGUUGGACUCUGUCCAAGAAGUCUGCAUCCGAGCAAGCCUCCCACAGUAGCAAUGAGGUGCAACAAUGACCAGCUCUUCUCCUCGUCGAGGUUCGUGCCUCAUCUUCACACCCUUUAAAGUAAGAAAAUUGGAGAAAUUUUUCUGUCAAUAUAGAACCUUCAAUCCUUGAAAUGGUGGUAAGUAAAUUUUUUUUUUUUCUAGGUUCAAAAACCUUUUUAUCGAAGAAUAAGAGAGCAUAUUGUUAAUUGAGGUCCACUUGACCCCUUGAGCUGCUAAGAUUUCAAUUUAAAAAUCAUGUGGGGUCCAUUUUGCCACGUAGGAUGCUGAUUAUGCUCAUCAAUUGGCCACCGUGUGUGCUUUUACCAUAAUGACCCUGUCACGUCAGUAGUUUUGACAGUCUUUUGGAUGACGUUAAUGGUGAGAGAUAAAGUAUAACACAAAACCACAAUAAAAGGGGUUAAGUGGACCACUUUAACUUUGGAAAGUAAAAUAAGAUUUGAUCGAAAUUUCAAGGGAUAAUAGAAUAAAGAAACUUAAAAAAUGGCAUGUUUAUAUUAAGAGAGAUAAACUUUUUUGUUAGUUUUGAGAGUCAACCGUUAUUUUUAUUUUUUCUUGUUGUGUAUCCGAUGGUUACGAUAUGUUUUUGAAAAAGGGUGUGAGCAAUAAUUUGGGCGGGGAGGUGGGCGAGUGAAACAGUAGUUGGAUGAUUGCAUGACCCCAAAUAAUUAAAUUAUGAAAGAAAGAUUAAGAAGUGUGGUAGUUUGGGAUUCCCUCGCAGACCGGCGUUAGUUGAGGACAAACAUAAAGCUUAUGUUUAUUUUUGUUCUUCAUUAUUCCACUUGUGACUUUUAUAUAAAAUUAAUGAAUCAAUCAAUCCAGUCCAGCUAAUUACUUGGAUUGGAUUUGUCCUAGAACAACAACUGUAGAUAUGUUUUCAAUGUGAGACACGAGAAUUUCAAUCGUUUCAUUCUCUUUUAUUUAUGUGGUUAUAAUUUGAAACUGUUUACCUUCUAAGAUAAUUUUUGUAAAUAAAAAAAUUGUAUAGUCGUCAGUAAAACAUACAUAACAUGUGCAAUAGAAGCAAGCAAACACAUAACAUGUGCAAUGCAAGCAAACACACGAUGAGCCACAUCAUUAUUAAUAAUAAUAUGGCCUCUUCCAAAUUAGACAUGACGUGGGCUUCUUCUCAAUUGCCUCCACACACAUGCCAAGCAUUCGUUCUCUGCAUUGAGUUCCAUCCUCUAGCUUCUAUACAGUACUGAGCUCUUUAUUUUCUCUGCCUUAAGGUGCCACACAUAAGGAUUUAGUACCAAUUUCAUAAGCCACUAUGAAAAAGAAAAUGGAGUCAAGUCGUUGUGGACAAUUACCUCCGCACAAAAGGCUACAAGUUUUGCAGAGGUGAGUUAAAACUGUCCGUCUAUUUACGCUCGAGUUUGAUUUCUUCUUUGUAAAUUAGACCACACUAUAACACUAAAGCAAUAAUUUAAAUGCUGAAUUGCCCCUGAAACUAUCACCUAAUUUUCGAUUUUCUAUGAACUUUUUCGCCAAUUUUCCCCCUACCCUCAAAUUUCCUAACAUUUCAUUCACUUCUCCAUCAAUAUUAGGUGAGAUGCGAAGAUUAAUAGUAUUUGUUUGUCUGCUCGUUUUUUAAUAACAUAAACUGUGGUCUCAAGCAUUGAAGAGUAGCUAAGCAAUUAUAAAAAUAUAUCUAGGGAAAAUCAUGGAAUAUAUAUAUUAAUUAUUCAUCAAUACAUGGUCCCCUUUGUCUUCAUGAACGUAGUAAACACAGCCAUUGUACCAAAGUUCACCCCAUGACGCCCACUUAGGUUUUAAAGAGGAGAAAAAUAAAAAAGAAGAAAAUAAAUCCGGAAAAACCAAAGAAGAAGUGGAGCCAAUACAUAUAGAAGAAAGCAUACGAAAUGAAUCAACAGUGACGAUGUUCACGGCUUCAAGCAUUCAAACCCACACUGUGAAGCACGACGGUUUCCACAGUGAGCCCAGGGCCAAACCCGAAUAGCACACCCCAAUCCAGCCCAUCUCCGGUGGUUUUUAGUCCUUUCUCGGCAGCCCUCUUCCUAACCUCAUCCAAAAUAAACAGCACACAAGCACUGGACAUGUUUCCGUACUCAGAUAGUAUGUGUCUUGUCGCCUCUAAUUUCUCAGGCUUCAGGGAUAAUUUGGACUCUACCUGGUCUAGAAUUGCUGGGCCACCUGGGUGUGCAAUCCAGAAUAGUGAGUUCCAAUCCGAGAUGCCCAAAGGUUGGAAGGCCUCGUUCAGACUCUUCUCGAUGUUCUUCGAAAUAAGCCCGGGAACAUCCUUGAGCAGAUGAAAUGUAAGCCCAACUUCACGGAGAUGUCCGUCGAUGGCUCCGUCACUGUCGGGAAGGAUGGUUUGGGCUGCUGACACCACUUCAAACAGGGGCUUCUCGAUCUCGGGAAUUGGGUCCGAACCCACAAUAAUAGCUGCUGCACCAUCACCAAAUAAGGCCUGGCCAACUAAACUGUCAAGGUGGGUGUCACUGGGCCCACGAAAGGUGACCGCUGUGAUCUCCGAGCACACAACGAGAACACGGGCACCCCUGUUGUUCUCGGCCAAGUCCUUGGCCAACCGGAGCACCGUGCCGCCGGCAAAACAUCCUUGUUGGUACAUCAUGAGGCGCUUGACGGAUGAGCGUAGGCCCAAGAGCUUGGUGAGCUGGUAGUCCGCCCCAGGCAUGUCCACACCACUGGUGGUGCAAAAGACCAAAUGGGUAAUUUUGGAUUUGGGCUGGCCCCAUUCCUUAAUGGCCUUGGUGGCAGCUUCUUUGCCGAGUUUUGGAAUUUCAACAACCACCAUGUCCUGCCGGGCGUCAAGGGAAGGUGCCAUGUACUCACACAUACUUGGGUUCUCUUUUAGAAUUUCUUCAGUCAAGUACAUGUAACGCUUCUUGAUCAUAGAUUUGUCACCUGAAAAAAGCAUAAACAGAAAAGUUACUUCACAGUAAUUCAAUGUUUCACUCCAUU
rnacentral:lncRNA from 1 species